CGGCCUGUAGCGCAGCCUGGUAGCGCACCUGCAUGGGGUGCAGGGGGUCAGAGGUUCGAACCCUCUCAGGCCGA
rnacentral:tRNA from 1 species